rnacentral:rRNA from 1 species
GUGCCAGCCGCCGCGGUAAUACGAAGGGGGCUAGCGUUGCUCGGAAUCACUGGGCGUAAAGCGCACGUAGGCGGAUUUCUAAGUCAGGGGUGAAAUCCCGGAGCUCAACUCCGGAACUGCCUCUGAUACUGGAGAUCUCGAGUCCGGGAGAGGUGAGUGGAACUGCGAGUGUAGAGGUGAAAUUCGUAGAUAUUCGCAAGAACACCAGUGGCGAAGGCGGCUCACUGGCCCGGUACUGACGCUGAGGUGCGAAAGCGUGGGGAGCAAACAGGAUUAGAUACCCUUGUAGUCC